rnacentral:tRNA from 1 species
GCCGACGUCGCAUAACCUGGUAGUGCGCUGGUCUCGAAAACCAGUCCCUUACGGGAUUGUAGGUUCAAAUCCUGCCGUCGGCG